GAUGAAGAACGCAGCGAAAUGUGAUACGUAAUGUGAAUUGCAGAAUUCAGUGAAUCAUCGAGUCUUUGAACGCACAUUGCGCCCCCUGGUAUUCCGGGGGGCAUGCCUGUCCGAGCGUCAUUGCUGCCCUCAAGCACGGCUUGUGUGUUGGGCCUCCGUCCUCCUCCCGGGGGACGGGCCCGAAAGGCAGCGGCGGCACCGCGUCCGGUCCUCGAGCGUAUGGGGCUUCGUCACCCGCUCUUGUAGGCCCGGCCGGCGCUUGCCGACACAUCAAUCUUUUUUCCAGGUUGACCUCGGAUCAGGGAGGGAUACCCGCUGAACUUAAGCAUAUCAAUAAGCGGAGGA
rnacentral:misc_RNA from 1 species